rnacentral:rRNA from 1 species
CCUACGGGCGGCAGCAGUAGGGAAUCUUCCACAAUGGGCGAAAGCCUGAUGGAGCAACGCCGCGUGGGUGAAGAAGGUCUUCGGAUCGUAAAACCCUGUUGUUAGAGAAGAAAGUGCGUGAGAGUAACUGUUCACGUUUCGACGGUAUCUAACCAGAAAGCCACGGCUAACUACGUGCCAGCAGCCGCGGUAAUACGUAGGUGGCAAGCGUUAUCCGGAUUUAUUGGGCGUAAAGGGAACGCAGGCGGUCUUUUAAGUCUGAUGUGAAAGCCUUCGGCUUAACCGGAGUAGUGCAUUGGAAACUGGGAGACGUGAGUGCAGAAGAGGGAGGUGGAAUUCCAUGUGUAGCGGUGAAAUGCGUAGAUAUAUGGAAGAACACCAGUGGCGAAGGCGGCUCUCUGGUCUGUAACUGACGCUGAGGUUCGAAAGCGUGGGUAGCAAACAGGAUUAGAUACCCGGGUAGUC